rnacentral:lncRNA from 1 species
GCAUUUUGAGAGUCAUUACCCCAUCUGGACGUUGAUGUGGCAAAUUGUGUGGGUUCACGCGCCUAACACGUUGAUUUUUCUGAGAUGUGACAUUUUUUUAAAAUAAAUUAUAUUUUUACCUUUUUAAGUAUGUUAUAUUUUUAUAUUAUUUUUUUUCGAAUGCAAUUUAUAAUAAAACUUGGAUAUGACUACAUUAUUUAGGCAAAAAUUUUAUUUGACUAAAAGUAAUAAAGGUUUAGUCAAUUUGUUUUUUUUUGAAUUUGACCUUGUCAACGCCUCCUUUUUCAUGAUAGGUCGAAAUCAGGUGUACGACAUUAUGGGAGGACAACUCUAUUCCCUUGCGAGAAUUGGGUUUUGGAAUUUGCAGAGUCGUCACCUAAUGAUUAUAGUGCAUUAGUACACUUUUAACGAAAAAGGAAAAAAGAAAUUUGAGAAGAACCAUAAUUUGGGUAAGGGCUUUGAGAUUAUCUCAAGGGGAAGGUGUUAGGCACCCCUCAAGAUCCACUAGUGUGGUUCCCGGCCAUACUAUAAUUGUGAUUUUAGAAGAUGGAAGAAGCAAAUAAGGUUUUCGCAUAAUUAUUACAAAUAAGUUCGAAAGUUUAAAAGAGAAAAGAAACGGAAAAUUUUAGAAAGUUGGUUAAAAGAGACCAAAAUUAAAAGAAACAUUAUAAGUGAUGGGAACGGAGAGUCCGAGGUUUAUACAUAAUAUGGAUCACAUCAAUGCAAUACCCGACGCACACUCCUAAAAAGAGGGGUCGCACGUGAUACUAACACACUGGUCAUCAUAUACAUAUUCUACCCUUCCCACCUCGUUAAGGUAUUAAAGCGCGAUUAGUCUCGUUUACUUAUUGCAUGCUAGUAUCCGUCCCAAUCCUAUCAGUCCCGGAGUAUUAGGACUUCUAAUCCUAAAUGGGAGAGAAGGAUGGAGCCUUUAUGGAGUUUAAAGGAUAAAACACCAGUUCGACAUUCAAAACACGUAUCAAAUAAGAGAAGAGCAAUCAAGCAAAUAAGGCUCAAACAAACCCCUAAAAUCAGAUAAAUCAUGUAGUUUAGCAUGUCUUUGCAAAUACUGAUUUGGUCUUUAAAUUAGAUUAAGGCGUGAGCGGACUGGUUUAACACAUAUAUUUAGAUGGAAAGUCUACAUUAGGCCACUCGGAUACAGUUGUCAGAGAUUAAGUCACUUGAUUAACGGGAAUUGAAUAAGAUUACUGAAUUAGAAAAGAAAUUUGUAAAUGAAGGAAAAGGUAUGCUGCAGACUUGAAAAAGAUUUAGGAACGAGUUCAAAAGAGAAACAGACUGCCUAAUUGUAGUUAAACACAGAAAGAGUAAUUUUAAAAUUUUUUUAGAAGAGGCAGACUGUUUAAAGAAAAUAAGUGAAUUGCAGAACUGGUUUAAAGACUGACACGUUCAAAAUAAUGGAACCGAAUUGGAAAACACAUUUGGUCAAAUUAUUAGAAAUGAGUUUUAGAAGAACAUGCAAGUUUUAAAGAUUAGAUUCUAGGAAAAAGAGUACACAUUGAUUUGAGAAAGGUUCAUCAAAAGAUUAAGUUUUUACAAAAGAUAUACUGAUCUAAGCGUGGAGAAACCAGUUGUUUUAAUCAAUUGUUACUGCUUUUAGACAGGCGAGGCGAAUUUGAUUUUAAAAACUCCUAUAGGCAUGAUAUCUACGAGUUAUUGAUUUUAAGCCUUGUUAAUAAACAGAUGCUGAUUUGAUUAAUCCUACAAGUUUUCCUAAUGUCAUGAAUAUGCAUAUUCCAAUAGGCAUGGUAUCUAUAUGCAAGAUUAUAGAAAGUUUAAAUAUUUACUCCUAUAGAUAUGAUUUCUAUGUGACAUGAAUUUCCAAUACAAGCAGUAAAGAUCCUAGGGGCAUGAUUUCAACCCUUUAAUGCAGAAAAGUAAACCCCCACCCUUUUCACUAUAUUAUCCGAGUUUAUAUAAGUUAUUAAAUACCCAAAAAAUAGAGAAAAAUACAUCAGAAACUAACAACUAGAUCCGAGCAGCCUAAUUCAGGCUUAGUUUCUAAUAAUAUGCGAUUUAGCCACUUCGGGAUCCAGAUUUCAAAGCUUUCUCUCUAUCUAGGAUGUUUCAAAGUUUCAAGAAAUUUCAUGAAUUCUCGGCAUUGCUUACACUCAAGAUAUCAUUAGAAUUAGAAAUAUUGCAGUGUGGAAAAGCCAGCUCUCGGGAAUCCAAGUUCAAAGGGAGAUCAGUGGUCCCAAAGCAAGGCUUGCAAGAGAGGGGCAGAACUUAAUCACCAAGAAUGAAUGUAAGUGCAAAAGGAGUUGGGGAGCCAUAACAGGUGGUGGUCAUGCCUAGCCACAAAACAGGCUGGCACACCCUUGAUCAAACCUAUUUAGCCAUCAAACAAGAGCAUGGACCUACGAAGGUUAGACUAUGAUCUGGACAAUGAUAACAUUGCCAGACCAAGGUCUUAGGCUCAGAGCACACAAAAGCGGAAAGGGAGUAAGAAUUGAUAUAGUUUAAGAUUUAAGGAAUCCAGUCCAUACACAUGAACAACAAUGUUUGAGUAUUGUCAUGCUCUAUGAACCAUAACUCCACAGAUAAAAGGGGUUAGGGAUAAAGGGAUUCACAUAAGAACAAAAGAUGAUAAACUUGUAGAAGAGCAGCAGGAAAGAAGCACAAAAGAACUAAAAUAUAAAACACAUAAGAUAGAGGCAAUAUUUAAAUUAGGAUAGAUAUACCAGUUGCAAAGGUAAGCAGAAAAAAAACAGAGUACCUGCAGCCACAAACAAACAAGGAAAGAUUAACUCAGAACUUUAGCAGAACUAACUCGAAUUGCUUUUAGAGGACUUAGAAGUAUUUGAGAGAGAGAGAGAAAGAGAAGUAGUGAGGGUGUGUGUUUGUGUGUGUUUCAAAACUUGUCUCUGUGUGUUUGUAUGUUUGAAAGAAAAGAGUAUAUGUAUUUAUAGUUUUGAAAACGAGCAUACAGUAAGGUAAGCAACAUAUUUUUAACACAAACAAGAAAGUAAUCACAAGUAAGAAUCAAUUAACCCAAGUGACUGCCCUUUAAUAAUCAUUAUCUAACAGGUGUCAACAGAUCUAAUUAAGGAAAGGAAAUCAGCUUGGAGACAAACUGGGUAUUACCAUAAAAGAAGCAGUAAAAUCAUACAAUAGGCAAACAAGUCGAGGUACAAGAUUUGUUGUGUUAGAAAGAUUUAGUGAGGCAAAAUCAAAGGAAAAGAAUCAAAUUAACCCUUGAUAGGCUAGUAAAUCAGAAUUUCGUGGAGGUAAAAGUUUGAAAUCAAUUCCAAGUUUUGAAGGACUCAGUAUAUAAUUCAUGCACAAAUAACUGACAUGUGAAGUCGAGCUAUGGCAAAAGAAAUAGCAUAGAGUAGGCAUUCAAACAUGUGUAGUAAAGAGAGAAAGAAUCAAGACAUACAAAGAGUUGAGCAAGCUGAGAUCGUAUAGAGAAAAGAAAUGCAGGAAUCAAAUUUGUAUAGUUCCAAACAGGAAAUUCAGACAAAAACUUCACAGGAUUCGAGGAAUCCCCAGAAGAACUAAGGCUUUUCAAAAAAUCAGUUAGGUCUAGAUAAAAAUAUGAGAAAUACAUAAUUUCAGAGUCCCAAGUGAAACCCCCAAAAUUAGGGUUACAUCUAUCAAUCACGAAUAGCCAGGCUCAUGAGCUCAAAUAAAUCCCCAGAAAUAGGGUUCUUAAACAUUAAACAAACUUGGAGAAAAUCAAAUGAAACCAUAAUAAAUAGACUCAGACAAAGACACAAAAAAAAUUAGGGUUUUUAGUCAUGCUUACACAGGUAAAGGAAGCAACACAAGUAAAGCAUAGAAACAUACUGAGAACAAGAAAGAAAAUUCGAAAACCAUUAAACACAAAAAUCUGUUAAAGGAACGAAGAAUUUUGAAAAGCAAAAAAUUUGGGGAAACUUUGAGAAACAUGCUCAACAAGUUCAAAUACACAUAGAUCUAGGGCAGAUCUAAAAUAAACCUUAGAGCUAGGGUUUCGAAGAACCCAGAGAAGAUGAGAAAGGCUUUGCAAAUUGACGAUCUAACCAGGAGAAUCACAUAUCUAACUCGAAGGGCCAUGACUGACCGGAGAAGGGUCAGGGGUGCCCGAAAAGAAGCCAUAAAUGGAAGUAAAUCCAAUAUCUGGUCGUGAAACCACAGGUAUGAACACCUAGGAGCCCAGAGGGUCCAUUGAACACCUCCAAUGGCCAUAGGAAUCCAUGGAUCAAGGUGGGAUUGAAUAGAGACAGCUAGGGCUUGUGAGGGUUUCAGAGGGAGUUGAGAGAGAAAAGGGGUUUGAAGGC